UCGAGAAUUUUUCUCAAUGGGGGCAACCCUGAAGGAGCGACGCCGCGUGAAGGAUGAAGGUCUUCGGAUUGUAAACUUCUGUCAUUGGUGAACAAAGCCCGCGGUUAACUGCCGUUGGGUCUGAUAGUAGCCGAAGAGGAAGGGACGGCUAACUCUGUGCCAGCAGCCGCGGUAAUACAGAGGUCCCGAGCGUUGUUCGGAUUCAUUGGGCGUAAAGGGUGCGUAGGCGGCGGGGUAAGUUUGAUGUGAAAUCCUGGGGCUCAACCCUGGAACUGCAUUGAAUACUGCCUUGCUAGAGAACUGGAGAGGAGACUGGAAUUUACGGUGUAGCAGUGAAAUGCGUAGAGAUCGUAAGGAAGACCAGUGGCGAAGGCGAGUCUCUGGACAGUUACUGACGCUGAGGCACGAAGGCCAGGGGAGCAAACGG
rnacentral:rRNA from 1 species